GUGCCGGCAGCCGCGGUAAUACGUAGGUGGCAAGCGUUGUCCGGAUUUAUUGGGCGUAAAGGGAACGCAGGCGGUCUUUUAAGUCUGAUGUGAAAGCCUUCGGCUUAACCGAAGUCGUGCAUUGGAAACUGGGAGACUUGAGUGCAGAAGAGGAGAGUGGAACUCCAUGUGUAGCGGUGAAAUGCGUAGAUAUAUGGAAGAACACCAGAGGCGAAGGCGGCUCUCUGGACUGUAACUGACGCUGAGGCUCGAAAGUGUGGGUAGCAAACAGGAUUAGAUACCCUGGUAGUCCACACCGUAAACGAUGAAUGCUAGUUGUUAGAGGUUUCCGCCUUUAGUGACGUCAGCUAACGCAUUAAGCAUUCCGCCUGGGGAUACGACCGCAAGGUUGAAACUC
rnacentral:rRNA from 1 species